CCCAGACAGCCAGGAUGUUGGCUUAGAAGCAGCCAUCAUUUAAAGAAAGCGUAAUAGCUCACUGGUCGAGUCGGCCUGCGCGGAAGAUGUAACGGGGCUAAACCAUGCACCGAAGCUGCGGCAGCGACACUGUGUGUUGUUGGGUAGGGGAGCGUUCUGUAAGCCUGCGAAGGUGUGCUGUGAGGCAUGCUGGAGGUAUCAGAAGUGCGAAUGCUGACAUAAGUAACGAUAAAGCGGGUGAAAAGCCCGCUCGCCGGAAGACCAA
rnacentral:rRNA from 1 species